CCGGCUCCGGUUCACCCCGCGUCUGCAUCCACGGGGACCCGGCGGCC
rnacentral:ncRNA from 1 species